CAAUAGCUCUUGGUGUUGUUGAUG
rnacentral:siRNA from 1 species